GUCCCAUGUCGGGUACAGAGGUUACUUAAAAAAUAAAUAUUAAAAAAAAAAAAAUCAACAAAACUAUCUGCUUAAAUAUGUCCACGAUUUGCAGCUUGGAUGAAUAUGUACUAAGAUAGUAAAUCAGUGGCCAAAUGUUCGUGUUUUCUUUUUUGAGGACUUAAGGAGAUGGGGAGGGGCAUCAGAAGGCCAACAAAUAUAUUUCCAAUUUUUCCAGAAUAAAAGAAGGUAGAUUCCCCAGAGAGGCUGGUGGAGCUUGGAGCUUGAUGUUAUACCUGUGUAAGGUUCUAGAAAGUAUUUCUAAAGAGAUGAUUUCUGAGCAUUUUGGAAAGGAAACCAUGUACCCACAGCCAGCAUGGAUUCACGAAGAAUAAGGAAACUGGAGUCUAGAAAUGUUGGGUGAAGUCAGGCUGUAAAUGGGGAAGCCAGAAUUUGAACCCAGGCAGUCUGCCUCCAGAGCCCACUCUGAGGAAACAAAAUUCUGAAUCCGUCCUGUAACAUUAAACAGUGUGAUGCUGCUGCCCCAGAGCUACAUGCGACCACAUAGUGUCUGACCUAAGGAGCUGACGAUGGUCUCCCCCCACUAUAAGCCAUUAAGGUAACAACACAUAAAUGUGCUCCGUUCCAGGCACUACACUUUAAGAGGCACAUAGACAAAUAUAUGACUUUCAGAAGACAGUAGAUGGUGAGGGGGACUCAGAACCUGUCGUGUGAGGAGUGGUUAAAGGAACUUGGACGUAUUUAGCCUGGAGAAGAGAAGACUCGGUAGGAACUUGCUGUGAGAGCACCACAUGUAUGUGAGGUGGGGACCUGUAGAAAGUGGGUUGAACCUAUUUCUGUCGGCUCUGGCAAUUUCUGGAAAUAACCAGGGGAUAGGUUUGACUCCAGCGGAGGGAGAACUUUCUAACCCUUAAGAGCUCCGAAGGAGAAUCACACAGUUGGGAGAAUUGAGUCUUUUGUCUUGGGACAUGGUCAAGCACCAAGGAGGAAAACGAGCCACACAACUUGCCAGGGCUCUGUGAAAUCAAGUGGCAUUACCUCAGGGACCCCAGGGCCAUCUCUGCCACAUGGUGUUUGAGGCCCCAACUUACGAGCUUUUAAGAAUCUUUUCAAAUUAGCAUACCCUAAAAGUUGGCUGCUCAUUCUGCUGGGCUCGGGAGAUGACCCCUGCCUUCCUCCCAGUCCUGCCAGGGCCUGGGGUAUACUAGAACUUAGAUAGGGAAGAAAUCAGAGAUCCCACUCCUUCCCCACACUGCUAGCAGACCCAGCACCUCCUGGUCUGGGACUACAGGGCAUUCUGGAAAUUCUGCAGGUUGCUGACCGCUGACUGCAUGACCUUUCCCCUUUGUCUUCUCCGUUGAGUUCUGUCCCCCACUGUGGUUUGAACUCAGCAGAGCUCUUGGCUCUAGCCCCAAGGCUGAGGUUCCUUCUCAUCUCUCAGUAGGUAGAGGCUCUGCCCAAGUCCCCACCUCUUUUCCCUGCUUAGAAUCCGCCUUCUUCGGGGCUGGCUCUCAGCAGUUGCUCCUUCCCUACAGAUGUGUCACUCCUGUCCAGGCCCUGGUGUGUCCUGUCUUGACAAGGAGCUUUCAUCCUGUGCUGUGUUGGGGUUUGGCUCCUACUUCAGCAGUCUCAGAGCUCCCCUUCAGUCUCCCAACCCCAAGGCUGUGAGAUUUGAUUCCCAAAUUGACAGCAGGUUCCUGAGUUUCCUGGUGUCUUGAAACCAGAUGGUGAUAGAAUCUUCCCCAGAUGGCGAAAUGUUUGAGUCCCCCUUUUCCUGUCCGGCCCAGCUGUGAGGCUCUUGCUUCUAUUUGAGAUCUAUCCUUCAGAGUACUUUCCUUACUCAGAACUUCAAUAAAAAUCUGUUGUACCACAUAUUUAGACUUUUGCUUUCUAGAGCAAUAUUUUAUACCUACCUGUCCCUAAUAUCAACCCCAGUUGAGAGCCACUAUCUUUAAGACCCCUGCCUUGGGCAUUUUCUUCUGUCAGAUUACGGCAAAGCCACAAACACUAGGUUCCUUUUGUUGUACUUCCUUAUAUUGGUCUCCAGGAUGACUUAACCACAGAAAAAGUGGAAAUGACGCUUACCUUUGCACGGAUCCUGACACACUAAUCCUUUAGUUGGCUUACUCAUUUGUUCAUUCAGCUCACACCUCGAGCCUGAGAGCCUGAGUGCCAGCCCCGUGUCAGGCACUGUUUUGUUAGGUGCUGAGGCUCAACAGUGAACGAAACAAAUCCUUGCCCUUGAGGGUCCUGCGCAGGGAGGACCGCCGUAAACAGACAACAGUAGCAUGGAGGAGGAAGGCCUUUAACAAGCAUCCUUGAUGUAUUUGACGUCUUGUGUACCUCUCUCCUGGAUAGUUGACUCCCGGAUAACUGACUCCUGCGGGCCAGUAUGCUAAGAUACAAAUUCUCCUUUCCCUCCCUGCCCGUACCAUCUCCUGCCCCAUUUGGGGAAGCUUCAUGGCAUUUCUUUUCCAGCUUCUUGAGGAUGCUCAAACGUCAGGUUUUCUAAUUUUCUCAAUUUUAUCCCCAAAGGGAAUUUGGAAAAAAUUAGAUAGGUCUUUCCUGGGCAUACAGUACAUACCCUAUCCAGCAGUUUGAACACCUGUAAAUCUUUGGGGUGGUUAGAAGCCUUCUUAAAAGCAUACUUUGAAGAUUGCUUGAUAUAAUAUUUUCCCAAAACUAUUCCCUGCUUUUGUUGGUUCAUUCAUUUAUCAAAUAUUAAGCUCUUACUAUGUGCUGGGCAUUGCAUGGGUGCUGGGUAUUCAAAGAUUAGUAAAAUAGACAUGACUAUUAUAUAUUUAGAACAUAGAGUCUAGCAUGAGAGAGAUGAUAAUCCCACAGAC